CGAACGCUGGCGGCGUGCUUAACACAUGCAAGUCGAACGGAAAGGCCCUGCUUUUGUGGGGUGCUCGAGUGGCGAACGGGUGAGUAACACGUGAGUAACCUGCCCUUGACUUUGGGAUAACUUCAGGAAACUGGGGCUAAUACCGGAUAGGAGCUCCUGCUGCAUGGUGGGGGUUGGAAAGUUUCGGCGGUUGGGGAUGGACUCGCGGCUUAUCAGCUUGUUGGUGGGGUAGUGGCUUACCAAGGCUUUGACGGGUAGCCGGCCUGAGAGGGUGACCGGCCACAUUGGGACUGAGAUACGGCCCAGACUCCUACGGGAGGCAGCAGUGGGGAAUAUUGCACAAUGGGCGGAAGCCUGAUGCAGCAACGCCGCGUGCGGGAUGACGGCCUUCGGGUUGUAAACCGCUUUCGCCUGUGACGAAGCGUGAGUGACGGUAAUGGGUAAAGAAGCACCGGCUAACUACGUGCCAGCAGCCGCGGUGAUACGUAGGGUGCGAGCGUUGUCCGGAUUUAUUGGGCGUAAAGGGCUCGUAGGUGGUUGAUCGCGUCGGAAGUGUAAUCUUGGGGCUUAACCCUGAGCGUGCUUUCGAUACGGGUUGACUUGAGGAAGGUAGGGGAGAAUGGAAUUCCUGGUGGAGCGGUGGAAUGCGCAGAUAUCAGGAGGAACACCAGUGGCGAAGGCGGUUCUCUGGGCCUUUCCUGACCCUGAGGAGCGAAAGCGUGGGGGAGCGAACAGGCUUAGAUACCCUGGUAGUCCACGCUGUAAACGGUGGGUACUAGGUGUGGGGGUCCAUUCCACGGGUUCCGUGCCGUAGCUAACGCUUUAAGUACCCCGCCUGGGGAGUACGGCCGCAAGGCUAAAACUCAAAGGAAUUGACGGGGCCCCGCACAAGCGGCGGAGCAUGCGGAUUAAUUCGAUGCAACGCGUAGAACCUUACCUGGGUUUGACAUGGAUCGGGAGUGCUCAGAGAUGGGUGUGCCUCUUUUGGGGUCGGUUCACAGGUGGUGCAUGGCUGUCGUCAGCUCGUGUCGUGAGAUGUUGGGUUAAGUCCCGCAACGAGCGCAACCCUUGUUCACUGUUGCCAGCACGUUAUGGUGGGGACUCAGUGGAGACCGCCGGGGUCAACUCGGAGGAAGGUGGGGAUGACGUCAAGUCAUCAUGCCCCUUAUGUCCAGGGCUUCACGCAUGCUACAAUGGCUGGUACAGAGAGUGGCGAGCCUGUGAGGGUGAGCGAAUCUCGGAAAGCCGGUCUCAGUUCGGAUUGGGGUCUGCAACUCGACCCCAUGAAGUCGGAGUCGCUAGUAAUCGCAGAUCAGCAACGCUGCGGUGAAUACGUUCCCGGGGCUUGUACACACCGCCCGUCAAGUCAUGAAAGUUGGUAACACCCGAAGCCGGUGGCCUAACCGUUGUGGGGGAGCCGUCGAAGGUGGGACUGGUGAUU
rnacentral:rRNA from 1 species